GCAAGAUAGAGUUUGAUCCUGGCUCAGAACGAACGCUGGCGGCAUGCCUAAUACAUGCAAGUCGAACGAUCACUUCGGUGGUAGUGGCGCACGGGUGCGUAACGCGUGGGAAUCUGCCCUUGGGUUCGGAAUAACAGUUGGAAACGACUGCUAAUACCGGAUGAUGACGUAAGUCCAAAGAUUUAUCGCCCAAGGAUGAGCCCGCGUAGGAUUAGCUAGUUGGUGAGGUAAAGGCUCACCAAGGCUACGAUCCUUAGCUGGUCUGAGAGGAUGAUCAGCCACACUGGGACUGAGACACGGCCCAGACUCCUACGGGAGGCAGCAGUAGGGAAUAUUGGACAAUGGGGGCAACCCUGAUCCAGCAAUGCCGCGUGAGUGAUGAAGGCCUUAGGGUUGUAAAGCUCUUUUACCCGAGAUGAUAAUGACAGUAUCGGGAGAAUAAGCUCCGGCUAACUCCGUGCCAGCAGCCGCGGUAAUACGGAGGUAGCUAGCGUUGUUCGGAAUUACUGGGCGUAAAGCGCGCGCAGGCGGUUAUAUAAGACAGAUGUGAAAUCCCCGGGCUCAACCUGGGACCUGCAUUUGUGACUGUAUAGCUAGAGUACGGUAGAGGGGGAUGGAAUUCCGCGUGUAGCAGUGAAAUGCGUAGAUAUGCGGAGGAACACCGAUGGCGAAGGCAAUCCCCUGGACCUGUACUGACGCUCAUGCAUGAAAGCGUGGGGAGCAAAACAGGAUUAGAUACCCCUGGUAGUCCACGCCCCAAAACGAUGUCCACUGGUUGCUGGGGCUUUCCCUGACUCAGCAACGAACCUAACGCGUGAAAUUCAACGCCUG
rnacentral:rRNA from 1 species